rnacentral:rRNA from 1 species
GAUGAACGCUGGCGGCGUGCCUAAUACAUGCAAGUCGAGCGGACGGACGAGAAGCUUGCUUCUCUGAUGUUAGCGGCGGACGGGUGAGUAACACGUGGAUAACCUACCUAUAAGACGGGGAUAACUUCGGGAAACCGGAGCUAAUACCGGAUAAUAUUUUGAACCGCAUGGUUCAAAAGUGAAAGACGGUCUUGCUGUCACUUAUAGAUGGAUCCGCGCUGCAUUAGCUAGUUGGUAAGGUAACGGCUUACCAAGGCAACGAUGCAUAGCCGACCUGAGAGGGUGAUCGGCCACCCUGGAACUGAGACACGGUCCAGACUCCUACGGGAGGCAGCAGUAGGGAAUCUUCCGCAAUGGGCGAAAGCCUGACGGAGCAACGCCGCGUGAGUGAUGAAGGUCUUCGGAUCGUAAAACUCUGUUAUUAGGGAAGAACAUAUGUGUAAGUAACUGUGCACAUCUUGACGGUACCUAAUCAGAAAGCCACGGCUAACUACGUG